GGAUACAAAGGUAGCUUAUUUAGAUAUUUAUACACAUCAACAUUUCAAAUUUUGGUCGAAAACUUUUAAAAAAAAUCAUCUGGCAUCACUGGAGGUGAUGACAUUUACUUUUGUAAGUUUUUAAAAGGCACUGUUUAUAUUUUGUGCGCUCUAUUUCAUCUGUGUAUAAAAAGAUCAAUUUCAAAGCAAUUUUCGUGCUCAGGAAUAUUAUUGUGUACUUUAUACAGUAAAAUGGCUCCCUGGGUUGACUGCUACCGGCUGCGUGAGCUGUUCAAACUGAACUACCACAAAACGCAAUAAUCAUGGACUUGGCGUGGAACGUCAACACACUGAAAUAGUGAAUGACCGUCAGCAGUAACUACCACAUCGAGGUGAAUCCAUCGGAUGCCGGAAUAUAUGGUGGUGGUCGUGACGGAUUUGAUCAAAUAAAUUGCUCAGACGCAGCGGAUUGAUCACAGUGGACAGAGGAAAUUUAAGACGAUCGUCUUGUCAGAGGAUGAGCUUACAAAGAUGCCAAGCAUGCGCUGAGAAGAACCAUGGAAAAGUAUAUGUCUACGUGCAGAUUGAUUUUGUGCGUCAAUUGUACUUCGCGGGUUAUUCCCGCAGUUAGAAACCGUUACUUGGGAAUAAGAGUGCCGGCUCCAUCUGAGGAGGAUAUUUUUAAAAUUUUAAAUCACGUCGGAGAGAAAGAAAGUUUACACAUUCCUUCGGAGCUAGCGAAAAUAAUUACCGCCAAGUCCGAACGCAAUUUCCGACGAGCUUUCCUCAUGUUGAUAGCUUACUAGGUACAACAGUAUCCGUUCAAGAUGAACGAAGAGAUGUCGAAAACCGAUUGGCAAGAAAUCCUCCGAGAAACCACCAAUCAGAUUGUCCUCAAAGUUCACAAAAACUGGAAGCGGUGAGGGAACGGCUAUACGAGCUGCUAAACCAAGGCGUCUCAUCGAAUGUUAUAUUGAUGUUACAUCUCACGUUUAUAAACUACGCUUCAAUCGUUCUGUUGUUUGACUGCUACGAUGAAAGUUCGAUAUUCGAAAUUCACCGCCCUUUAGGAUUGGAGGCGAACGGACAGAAUGCAAAAUAUUCAAAAAAACGGACAGAAUGCAAAAUAUUCAAAAAAACGGACAGAAUGCAAAAUAUUCGGACUCGUUCGGAUUGUGAAAUCCAAUCAAUCCAAUUGGCGAUCUAACGUACAAAUCUACACCUAGGCGGCGCUGCGGUGAAAGUGAUGAUGGUUUUAAAUUUUGCCAUAUGAGCUUAUGGAAGUAGUGAAAACUAUAAAAAUGUUGACAAUGGUUAAAUUGAAGAAGGACAUUCGAGAGCACAAUCAAACACAAGUAGAAAAAUGCACGAUUCCUGCAUGUGAGAACUACCUUGGAAAGCCCGGAAGAAAAAAAGACGGGUGGGUAAUGUCGGGGACAUAACCGGAGUGACGUAGGACAAUACAAAGGGGACAGCUUUUGUUAAAUAUAUAUUUUAAAUAUAUUGUUUAAUUUCUUCUCCUACGUGAAUACCUACCUAUCUACCUGAAAAAUGGAUUAGUUUACUGUUUACUCUUUAUGAAUAUGUUGAUGGUUCUGAAAAGAACCUUUGGUGUUGUGUUUUUGUUAUCACUCGAUAUUCCCAUCUUGUUCGGUUAAGCCUUCCUGUUUAGCUAUUACGUUUGCCA